rfam:Triticum aestivum genome assembly, contig: Triticum_aestivum_CS42_TGACv1_scaffold_321001_4BL
UAAGUACUCCCUCCGUCCCAAAAAUUUUGUCAUAGAUUUGUGUAGAUACGGAUGUAUCAACAUAUCUAUACGGAUGUAUCAAUGUAUCUACACAAAUCUAAAAUAAGAAUUUUGGGACGGAGGGAGUAUAUA